rnacentral:tRNA from 1 species
UGCGGUUAUGACGGAAUUGGCAGACGUGCAGGAUUUAGGUUCCUGUGCCUUUCGGCGUGUGGGUUCGAGUCCCACUAACCGCAG